UACGUAGGUGGCAAGCGUUGUCCGGAAUUAUUGGGCGUAAAGCGCGCGCAGGCGGUCCUUUAAGUCUGAUGUGAAAGCCCACGGCUCAACCGUGGAGGGUCAUUGGAAACUGGGGGACUUGAGUACAGAAGAGGAAAGCGGAAUUCCACGUGUAGCGGUGAAAUGCGUAGAGAUGUGGAGGAACGCCAGUGGCGAAGGCGGCGAUCUGGGUCGAUACUGACGCUGAGGUGCGAAAGCGUGGGGAGCAAACAGG
rnacentral:rRNA from 1 species